CCUACGGGAGGCAGCAGUGGGGAAUAUUGCGCAAUGGGGGAAACCCUGACGCAGCAACGCCGCGUGAGUGAGGAAGGACUUCGGUCUGUAAAGCUCUGUUAAUGUGGAAAAAUGGUAGCUGGUCUAAUAGGCCGGCUAUUUGAUGGUACACAUAGAGGAAGCACCGGCUAACUUCGUGCCAGCAGCCGCGGUAAUACGAAGGGUGCAAGCGUUGUUCGGAUUUAUUGGGCGUAAAGCGCGCGUAGGCGGACCUGCAAGUCAGAUGUGAAAUCUCGGGGCUCAACCUCGAAACUGCGUCUGAAACUACAGGUCUAGAAUCUCGGAGGGGAAGGGGAAUUUCGCAUGUAGGGGUAAAAUCCGUAGAUAUGCGAAGGAACACCAGAGGCGAAGGCGCCUUCCUGGACGAGUAUUGACGCUGAGGCGCGAAAGCGUGGGGAUCAAACAGGAUUAGAUACCCUGGUAGUCCACGCUGUAAACUAUGAACACUAGGUAUUGGAGGAUUUGACCCCGUUCAGUGCCGUAGCUAACGCGUUAAGNGUUCCGCCUGGGAAAGUACGGUCGCAAGCUUAAACUUAAAUGAAAUUGACCGGNNGNGAGNGCGAGNGACACGAGGAGAG
rnacentral:rRNA from 1 species